rnacentral:rRNA from 1 species
CACGUAGGGUGCAAGCGUUGUCCGGAAUCAUUGGGCGUAAAGAGCUCGUAGGCGGCUUAGUAAGUCGGGUGUGAAAACCCCAGGCUCAACCUGGGGACGCCACCCGAUACUGCUAUAGCUAGAGUCCAGUAGGGGAGUGUGGAAUUCCCAGUGUAGCGGUGAAAUGCGCAGAUAUUGGGAGCAACACCAGCGGCGAAGGCGGCACUCUGGGCUGGUACUGACGCUGAGGAGCGAAAGCGUGGGUAGCGAACAGG